GGAGAAAACACAACAUCUACAAAACCUAGAAGGACAACUCAACUGAUUUCAUUACAGUCUUGUCCCAUCGCUGCAACUCCAGUACGGACUCAGGAAAGGUGAAGGUCGAGAGCCAUGCAUCCUCCGAAACAUGACCCUGUCAAGCCGCACUGCUUCUUGACACACUGUUCACUUAACCCGGAAGCCAGCCGCACCAAUGUAUUGGAGGAAACACUGUACAACUGAAGUCAGUGUGCAUGCACCUGGCCCUCCACAAGGAGUUGCUAGAGCGCAAUGGUGCAAGGACAUCCCGGCCAGCCAAACCCUCCCCUAACCCGGAUGAUGCUGGGCCAAUUGUGCGCUGCCUCACAGGUCUCCUGGUUUCAGCUGGUUGCGACACAGCCUGGGAUCGAACCCAGAUGACUGUGACCUCCUCAGACCAGACCAGUUGGUAGUAUGCCCAGAACAUUGUUCUGAAAACCGAAAGGAUGAUCUCAGUUUCAAGGUCCCAGCUUUGAGAGAAGAAUCCUUGUUGGUCACAUGCAGGAACCAACAUGAAUAAUGAAUUAUGAAUUAUGUAAAUCAUGCUCAUAUGACUUGUUUGUGUAGCAGUAUAUAAGGACUGAGAGGGAACGCCCUUUUCAGAGUUUUCAUCAAGCUUCGAUUGAGUCUGUGAACCUCUCCGGCCGUGAUAAUAAAGAUUGAUUAAUUUACAUUGAGUUUAGAGAGUCCUUAGUGCGAAUUUCCA
rnacentral:lncRNA from 1 species